GGGGCAGCAGGGGUAGCAAUACCCGCUGGCGACCGGCAAACGGGUGCGGAACACGUACGCAACCUUCCUUUAACUGGAGAAUAGCCCCUCGAAAGAGGGAUUAAUACUCCGUAACAUAACGAAGUGGCAUCACUUUGUUAUUAUAGCUCCGGCGGUUAAAGAUGGGCGUGCGCCUGAUUAGAUAGUUGGUGAGGUAACGGCUCACCAAGUCUGCGAUCAGUAACUGGUGUGAGAGCACGACCAGUCACACGGGCACUGAGACACGGGCCCGACUCCUACGGGAGGCAGCAGUAAGGAAUAUUGGUCAAUGGACGCAAGUCUGAACCAGCCAUGCCGCGUGGAGGAUUAAGGCCCUCUGGGUUGUAAACUCCUUUUAUCUGGGAAGAAACCCACAUAUUCUUAUGUGGUUGACGGUACCAGAAGAAUAAGCACCGGCUAACUCCGUGCCAGCAGCCGCGGUAAUACGGAGGGUGCAAGCGUUAUCCGGAUUCACUGGGUUUAAAGGGUGCGUAGGCGGGCAGGUAAGUCCGUGGUGAAAUCUCUGAGCUUAACUCAGAAACUGCCGUGGAUACUAUUUGCCUUGAAUACUGUGGAGGUAAGCGGAAUAUGUCAUGUAGCGGUGAAAUGCUUAGAUAUGACAUGGAACACCAAUUGCGAAGGCAGCUUACUACACAGCUAUUGACGCUGAGGCACGAAAGCGUGGGGAUCAAACAGGAUUAGAUACCCUGGUAGUC
rnacentral:rRNA from 1 species